GACGAACGCUGGCGGCGUGCUUAACACAUGCAAGUCGAACGGAAAGGCCCUGCUUGCCGGGUGCUCGAGUGGCGAACGGGUGAGUAACACGUGGGUGAUCUGCCCCUUACUUUGGGAUAAGCCUGGGAAACUGGGUCUAAUACUGGAUAGGACCAUGCUGUAGGUGGUGUGGUGGAAAGAUUAGUUUCGGUAAGGGAUGAGCUCGCGGCCUAUCAGCUUGUUGGUGGAGUAAUGGCCUACCAAGGCGUCGACGGGUAGCCGGCCUGAGAGGGUGGACGGCCACAUUGGGACUGAGAUACGGCCCAGACUCCUACGGGAGGCAGCAGUGGGGAAUAUUGCACAAUGGGCGCAAGCCUGAUGCGGCGACGCCGCGUGGGGGAUGACGGCCUUCGGGUUGUAAACUCCUUUCAGCCAUGACGAAGCCCUUGUGGUGACGGUAGUGGUAGAAGAAGCACCGGCUAACUACGUG
rnacentral:rRNA from 1 species